AGCGGCGGAUGGGUGAGUAACACGUGGGGAACCUGCCCCUAAGUCUGGGAUACCAUUUGGAAACAGGUGCUAAUACCGGAUAAUAAAGCAGAUCGCAUGAUCAGCUUUUGAAAGGCGGCGUAAGCUGUCGCUAAGGGAUGGCCCCGCGGUGCAUUAGCUAGUUGGUAAGGUAACGGCUUACCAAGGCGACGAUGCAUAGCCGAGUUGAGAGACUGAUCGGCCACAUUGGGACUGAGACACGGCCCAAACUCCUACGGGAGGCAGCAGUAGGGAAUCUUCCACAAUGGACGCAAGUCUGAUGGAGCAACGCCGCGUGAGUGAAGAAGGUUUUCGGAUCGUAAAGCUCUGUUGUUGGUGAAGAAGGAUAGAGGUAGUAACUGGCCUUUAUUUGACGGUAAUCAACCAGAAAGUCACGGCUAACUACGUGCCAGCAGCCGCGGUAAUACGUAGGUGGCAAGCGUUGUCCGGAUUUAUUGGGCGUAAAGCGAGCGCAGGCGGAAAAAUAAGUCUAAUGUGAAAGCCCUCGGCUUAACCGAGGAACUGCAUCGGAAACUGUUUUUCUUGAGUGCAGAAGAGGAGAGUGGAACUCCAUGUGUAGCGGUGGAAUGCGUAGAUAUAUGGAAGAACACCAGUGGCGAAGGCGGCUCUCUGGUCUGCAACUGACGCUGAGGCUCGAAAGCAUGGGUAGCGAGCAGGAUUAGAUACCCUGGUAGUCCAUGCCGUAAACGAUGAGUGCUAAGUGU
rnacentral:rRNA from 1 species